rnacentral:lncRNA from 1 species
CUAAUACUACAGAGGGCGCCUCACUCAAUCCCCUUUCUCCUCAUCUCGAUCCACACCCCUCUCUCUCUGUCUCGCACGCCGCCGUCGAUGCUAGGGUUCUGAUUCACGCCGCCGCUGCCGCCUACAGCCAUAGCAGGAGCCGUCCUUGCCUCCUCAUUGAUCCACAGCCGAAGUCGUCGCUCCUUCCACCACCAGCCACCUGACUCGCAAGCGUGCGGCCCUCCUUCCACCGGUCGCCUACUCAGUCCACCUCGCCCGCUCCAUCCCAUGGCGCCACUACCCCAACCCAUGGCCAGCUCCCUCUUCCCNCUGAAGCGAGGCGUGCAGCCUCUGCUCCCUCAGUAUCUGGCGAACUAUAUGGUCUCCCUCCUCUCCAACCCAUCAGGAGGAAGAAAUGGGCAAGCGAGACCAGCAGGGGAAAGAAUAGGGUGCAGCCUCACACGCUGGCUUGUUGCUUGCACCUGAAAAAGACAGAGACCAGCCGCCGAUGGACACCAUCUGGUGUUGGUUACAACAGGCUCCGAGGUAGGAUGUGAUUCUUAUCUUUAAAGAGUGGCAUGCUCGAGUUGUGAAUCUGCUGCUAUACAUUGGCUGAGGAUUAAUUACAAGGAGGUGUGUUAUGCUGGAGUAGGAGGCGGGAAGGAUCUAAUACUAUGGUGAACAUUUUCUUCAAUCAUACUAAAAUACAUUAAAAAAAUUAGCUGCAAUUGUUGUCCCUAUUUACACGAGAAAUUGCUAUCUUUUACACAGUACGCGCUAGAGCAAGUAGUAAAUUACUUGAGUAAUCCUAUACUUAUUCAGUUUACCAUCCCGACAUAGGUAUGGGAUGAGUGUGGACAUCGAGUACUUUAGUGAUAGCAAUCCAGUCUUUUACAGUAGCCCCCUAUAGGAUAUUUAAUUUUGAGUACUUCACUGUUUUAUUGUGGCAACUCGCAUAAUCGACUCACAUCAUCGGCUGAUGCAUAUUCUACGACAUGAAAAAUACCUCAAGGAAUUGUUGUUUGAAAUUGCAGUUGCGUCCAAGGUGGGCUGAGGUGAUAACUGAAUAAUCUUCUGCUGCAAAGCAGAUUCCGUAUUCACUUAUAUUUUGCAUGGGCCGAAGGAUACUUCUUUUUAUGCUGCAAUACUGCUUACAAAUGUAUAUUCGGUGAAAGGAAGCGGAAAAUUUAAAUGUUGCAAUAUAACACUGAGCAAUUAAUUUUGUUUCUUCUGCUUUGUUGAUCUAUAGUGCUUUAGCGUUACUAAUGACCUCGAGUUAUCCUAUGCAUGCAGUAUUUUUGUACUAGGUUGAACCAGAUGGUCUCUUCCAAUGGAAAUCGCAGGGUGGCCGUUCUUACGAUAAAGAAAAUGAGUGUGUCACAAAAUGACAUUCACUGAUGCAAAUGUAUUUUCCCGAGCAUAGGAUCAACUAGUGCGGCUUCUUGCUUGAUUCAACUGGAUCUAAUGGCGGCGCAGCAGGUGGAGUCGGGAGGCAUGACAGAGGACAUGUGGAUGUUAUCGUGGCAUUGACACAUUUCGCUCCACUGACACUUCAUACCAACGUGAAUGAAUGCUAUCGUGGCCUUAGGCCUGCCAAAUUCUUGCUUUACUUUUUUGUUUUGUAUAUGUAUAUUUCAGUUCCGACGUGCUUUUUCUCAUGUCGAGUUGAAACCACAUUUGGAUGGUCCAGUAGAAAAUAAUCGUAUGUUUCACUCUGAAAUCAUAUUGCAUAUAGAGUGAUGUUCUGUUCUUGAACAAAUUAUUACACACAUAUACAUGAAAAAGUCUCACACUAAGGCUCAUGCAUUCUACUUUUUCCUCCUUUAUCCUCCUUUAUGGCAAGAUGUUGUUAGAGAUGUUUGUUGUUACUCAUUCGGUUGUGGUAUAGAAUGAUGGCUUUUAUAGUCUGUUUACAGUGUCAUCUAUUCAGAAUCAUGCAAAUUUUGGCCUCUACAACAGACUUUGUUUGCUUGCUUCUCUAUUUUCUGUUUCUUUCUGUUUGGAUUAGCAAGUUUCGCUGCACAUCUGUAUAUGCCAUCGGAAUACAUUAUUACAAAAAUGACAGUCUGAAGCUAAAAGAAAAUACAUGACAAAAGAAAAGUAAAUAACUUGAGUAGUAAGGGCUUGCAUUAUAAAUAUGUUUACUUACCAUUUCAGUUAUUUUAUGCACUCAGGUGAAGAUGCUGCAGACUAUGAAGUUUUCAGAGCUCAAACAUAAAACAGUGCAUAUUUUUGCAAAAAACAAUUGCUUUGUUUUUCCCCAACCAUCUUGAUACAAAUUUGGGAUCACCUAAAACUUACAAAAGGCAUGCUUCCUGAUUUGUUCCAAUGAUACAAAAUCAUAAAUUGUUUUUAUCAUUGUUGAAUGUAG